CCUGGCUCAGGAUGAACGCUAGCUACAGGCUUAACACAUGCAAGUCGAGGGGCAGCAUGGUCUUAGCUUGCUAAGGCCGAUGGCGACCGGCGCACGGGUGAGUAACACGUAUCCAACCUGCCGUCUACUCUUGGACAGCCUUCUGAAAGGAAGAUUAAUACAAGAUGGCAUCAUGAGUCCGCAUGUUCACAUGAUUAAAGGUAUUCCGGUAGACGAUGGGGAUGCGUUCCAUUAGAUAGUAGGCGGGGUAACGGCCCACCUAGUCUUCGAUGGAUAGGGGUUCUGAGAGGAAGGUCCCCCACAUUGGAACUGAGACACGGUCCAAACUCCUACGGGAGGCAGCAGUGAGGAAUAUUGGUCAAUGGGCGAGAGCCUGAACCAGCCAAGUAGCGUGAAGGAUGACUGCCCUAUGGGUUGUAAACUUCUUUUAUAAAGGAAUAAAGUCGGGUAUGCAUACCCGUUUGCAUGUACUUUAUGAAUAAGGAUCGGCUAACUCCGUGCCAGCAGCCGCGGUAAUACGGAGGAUCCGAGCGUUAUCCGGAUUUAUUGGGUUUAAAGGGAGCGUAGAUGGAUGUUUAAGUCAGUUGUGAAAGUUUGCGGCUCAACCGUAAAAUUGCAGUUGAUACUGGAUAUCUUGAGUGCAGUUGAGGCAGGCGGAAUUCGUGGUGUAGCGGUGAAAUGCUUAGAUAUCACGAAGAACUCCGAUUGCGAAGGCAGCCUGCUAAGCUGCAACUGACAUUGAGGCUCGAAAGUGUGGGUAUCAAACAGGAUUAGAUACCCUGGUAGUCCACACGGUAAACGAUGAAUACUCGCUGUUUGCGAUAUACAGCAAGCGGCCAAGCGAAAGCGUUAAGUAUUCCACCUGGGGAGUACGCCGGCAACGGUGAAACUCAAAGGAAUUGACGGGGGCCCGCACAAGCGGAGGAACAUGUGGUUUAAUUCGAUGAUACGCGAGGAACCUUACCCGGGCUUAAAUUGCAGAUGAAUUACGGUGAAAGCCGUAAGCCGCAAGGCAUCUGUGAAGGUGCUGCAUGGUUGUCGUCAGCUCGUGCCGUGAGGUGUCGGCUUAAGUGCCAUAACGAGCGCAACCCUUGUUGUCAGUUACUAACAGGUUCCGCUGAGGACUCUGACAAGACUGCCAUCGUAAGAUGUGAGGAAGGUGGGGAUGACGUCAAAUCAGCACGGCCCUUACGUCCGGGGCUACACACGUGUUACAAUGGGGGGUACAGAGGGCCGCUACCACGCGAGUGGAUGCCAAUCCCAAAAACCUCUCUCAGUUCGGACUGGAGUCUGCAACCCGACUCCACGAAGCUGGAUUCGCUAGUAAUCGCGCAUCAGCCACGGCGCGGUGAAUACGUUCCAAGGCCUUGUACACACCGCC
rnacentral:rRNA from 1 species